ensembl:lncRNA
AAAGCUAAUGACAAUUUGUUGGUCCAAAGUAUAGCGUAACAUUCUUACUAAUUUGUAUUCUGAUCUUGUGCUGUUCUCUUGUCUCCUUUGUCUAGAUUACACAGUCAAGUGUUUACUUGACCAAUGACAUGGGGAUUUCAGUUUUCCCAGGUUCAUCUGGAUUCUUCAGUUGUUUGGACCUCAUGAAUGGUGGGAGUACCUUCCAGGUGAUGGGUGAUGAUGCAUGUGGGCCACUCCCUAGCCCAGUCCCAUUUCACCCAAACCCUGGACAAAGUCGACCUCGUUUCAGCUUUUCCCGAUCUGCCACUGCAACAGUUACACGUGCAGUUAGUCCUGCAGUUAGCCCCAAAAUGUAUCAAAGGGUCUGCGUAUUGGAAACAGAGCUCCAGACGUAUUUUUGCAAUAGCAGAGGAUGUAUUUGCAGAGAUGGGGAGGAGGAAACGUAGGAAACUAGGGCAAACUUCAAGACAUGAGGACUCUGGGCUCUGUGACAUAAAAGACAAAAUCGAGGAGGUCCUUCUAGCAUCGGAGGGUUUACCGGCUGUUUCAGCCAAGCUGAGAGAGCUGUGCAAGCGUAGCGAGGGCCUUACUGAACAGCAGAGUGAGGUUCUAAGAACCUCGUUCAAGUGCUGUGUGUGCAGAGGAGUGAUGGACAGUCCCGUAUUGGCACGCUGCUGUCGCAGUCUAAUUGGCUGUAGACAGUGUGUUGAUUUAUUUGUUCAGGAAGGUCAAGCAUGUGUAAAAUGCAGGUCUGCCAUUUCAAGAGAAUCAAUUGUGGUUGUUGCUGGCCUCUCUGAAGUUUUAAAUGUUAUUAAGGCCUUAGAUGAGCAGUACAGCUCGGCCUGAGGUUGCAACGGUUAGUGUAGCAUUCUGAAGGAUAAAACAUAUGGCAAUAUGGACAUUUUUAAUACAAUAUAAAAAGUGUUUAUUUGCCAUGUGUCUAUUACCAUGUUUUGUUUUUUAAUACCAUUUCUAAUCUGAUUUGCAUUUUGAAUGUUUAAACAAUUCGUUGUAAUGUUUUUAUUCAUCAGGUCUGUUGACUGUUUUGUAAUAGUUUUUCUCAGCAUUCUUGAUGCGAAGUCAAUGUUUGCAUGUAACACGUUAAUGCAAAUAUGUAGUUUACACUAAAAAAUACAAUAUGCAAACUGAAAGAUUUUAAUAUUUCAUUGUAAUAGGUUUGUUAACUGUUUUGUAAUAGUUGUUGUCAGUAAUAUGUAAUACUUUAAUGCAUACCAAUGCAAUAAUAACAAUGCAAUGUAAACUGAUUGUUCCAGGCCAUCUUUUUCAAACCAUGGCCAUCUGUUUGUGAAAUGUUAAAGACGUUAAUGUUUUAAACAUGUUCUGUUUGCAUGCAGUGGCAUACUGAGUAAAAACAAAAUAAAGUUGUAGUUCAUUUACAUUUAAUUUAUUAGACUAUUUUGUCAGUACCAGUUUGUUUUGCUUUAAACUGACCAAUACAAAUCAUUGACUUAAAUGAUC